GUUGGAGAAUCAGAAAAAUUACAGCCAGCCAAAAUCAAAGGACUUUUAUAGAAGCAAAUACAUAAUUUUUUAAAAUGACAUUUUUCAAGCUCAGCAGGGUUAACAGCAAUACUGUUGAGAAAUUGUCAGUGGCUGUUUCAUGAUCUCAGUGUUUGGGAUGUAGAUUUAUACUAGAUGCUAGAAAGAAAUUCUUUACUGCAAGGAUGGUGAGACACUGGCACAGGUUGCCCAGAGGCUGUGGAUGCCCCUCCCUGGAGGCAUUCAAGGCAAGGCUGGAUGGGGCUGCGAGCAACCUGGUCUAGAGGGACAUGUUCCUGCCUGUAGCAGGGGGUUGGAACUAGAUGGUCUUAAAGGUCUCUUCCAACACAAACCAUUCCAUGAUUCUAUAAUUCUAUGAAUUGUUUUGUAAUCUUUCUGUGCAGAGGAGUAUAAAGAGUGCUGAAACACUGCACAAUACUACACUGCUAGAUUAAAAGUAGC
rnacentral:lncRNA from 1 species